rnacentral:rRNA from 1 species
UGGGGAAUAUUGCACAAUGGAGGAAACUCUGAUGCAGCGACGCCGCGUGGAGGAAGAAGGUUUUCGGAUCGUAAACUCCUGUUGUCGGGGACGAUAAUGACGGUACCCGACAAGAAAGUGACGGCUAACUACGUGCCAGCAGCCGCGGUAAAACGUAGGUCACAAGCGUUGUCCGGAAUUACUGGGUGUAAAGGGAGCGCAGGCGGGGAGAUAAGUUGGGAGUGAAAACUAUGGGCUCAACCCAUAAAUUGCUUUCAAAACUAUCUUUCUUGAGUAGUGCAGAGGUAGGCGGAAUUCCCGGUGUAGCGGUGGAAUGCGUAGAUAUCGGGAGGAACACCAGUGGCGAAGGCGGCCUACUGGGCACCAACUGACGCUGAGGCUCGAAAGUAUGGGUAGCAAACAGGAUUAGAUACCCUGGUAGUCCAUACCGUAAACGAUGAUUACUAGGUGUUGGGGGAUUGACCCCCUCAGUGCCGCAGUUAACACAAUAAGUAAUCCACCUGGGGAGUACGACCGCAAGGUUG